rnacentral:lncRNA from 10 species
ACAAGAUUAAACACCAUGGCAAUGGCUCUGAGUGACAGGUUUAGUAAGCUGCUAGGAAGGUUCCUGGAAGCAUGAAAAAAGUGAUGAUGCAUAUUAAACAAAGUGAAGAUGCUAUAACUUCCAUGGAAGUCUAUAGAGAAAAUAUUUCAAGGACCCAGGGGAUUUGGCAUGCCAGAAUGUAUUUACUGUAUAAAACUGGGAAACCCACUAAUGUGUACAUUCCUUGGGAGGGCUUAGAGGACACUUUAUCAAAGCAGUAGGAAUGAGCUGGUGAGGAAGGUGUCAGUAUUGUUGAGAAGCCCAGUGGUGCUGUCCUUUAUGGGCAGGGUUGACAGUAGGAGAUGCUGUAAUUGUGCCUCCCAGGAGCAAUGUGGAUGAUAGGAUUUUAGAAUAGCAGAGGCCAACAGACAGCACUUAACCAAUGGAAAUUAGAAGGGCAUAAUUAGCAUAAUGCAAAGCAACUUGGGAUGACAGUCAGGGGAACCUGAUCCACAGGGAUUUACGGUGAUGGCUAAUAGAACAUGAUGUCCAUAAGAAUGGGAAAGAUGGGAACUCAGUGACAAUAUUAUUAAUAUACAUACCCUAAGAAAUCAAGAACAGACAAGCAGAAAACAAGAAGCUGACCCAACAGGAAGUCUCCUGAUCUUGCCCAGUUUCCAGACCGAAGUCAUUUCUCAGUUACAGCAUCUACAGACAGAGAGUCCAGAGCCCCAUGAAGAAAGACUCUACCACAGUGUGUACGGUAAUUCUCCCUCCGACCUUCCUUAAAGGGACCUCCAGAAAUUACUCAGGCUUUUCCUCACCCCUGAAUGCUCCAACCAGUCCUCAGAAAGCUACAUUCUUUCUCCUGGGGAUCUCAUCCAUUUCCAUGGCUUAACUACCACCAAUAGGUUGAACUACCACCAAUAGGUUGACAGCACCCAGAGAUUUUUUUUUUCUAUAGUGGGAUCUUUUGUGAGAAGGGGUGGGGAUUUUAAGCAAUUCCGAAGUUCACUGGGGGCACUCAGAUCCCACCCCUUAGGCUGCCAUAUGCUCACUGGAAGGAUCACAUUGAGGACCCUGAAGAGCCUGAAGAGGAAUUGCAUACCUUCUAUUAUUGCUGUUCGCUGUGGAUUGAAGUGCGUCUCUCCAAAAUCCAUAUGUUGAAGCACUAACCCCCGAUGUGACUGUAUUUGGAGAUCAGCCCUUUAAGAUGGUAAGUAAGUUUAAAUAAGAUCACAAGAGUGGAGCCUUAAUCCAAAAGGACUGGUGUCUUUUUUUUUUUUUUUUUGGUAGGUUUUGCCAUGUUGCCCAGGCUGGUCUCAAACUCCUGGCCCCAAGGGAUCCAUCCACCUUGUGUAAGACUGGAGCUGACAUCCAUCCAUCAGUCUUGUGUAAGACUGGAGCUGACAUUCACACCGUAGGCUGGGCCUCCCAGUUAUGACUGCUUUGCUGUCUCACUUACUGCAUGUUAUCCCAUCCUUCUGGAUGUGUGGCAAUCCUCGCCACGUGGCAAGGGCACAGCUGGCUAAACUGGCAGCUAUGCUUUGGAGCUCAUGACAGAUGUCUAUCGAGAGUAAAGAUGAGGAGAUUUAUUAGAAAACUAUCAAGAUUUUGGAGUGUGUUGGUCACUUUUGGAAGCCUUGAAAGGUCUUGCCUGACUCUCCCUCCCCAGGGUCAGAAGCAGAGCCCUAGAGAAAAGCCAGUGAGCCUAAGGGGGGCGGGUGUUAAUGGUAGAAACCCUCACAUCUGUGCCAGGCUCAGGUUCAGAGACCAACACACAAAAUGCUAUAGGCUUCUUAUACCUUCCCUAGAAAUUAAAGCCAAAAUGUCUAGCAACCCAAUCGGGUUUCAAGGAAGCUGAAGAACCUUGUAUUAGUAUGUUCUCACACUGCUAAUAAAGACAUACCUGAGACUGGGUAAUUUAUAAAGGAAAGAGGUUUGAUGGACUCACAGUUCCACAUGGCUGGGGAGGCCUCACAGUCAUGGCGGAAGGUGAAAGGCAUGCCUUACAUGGUGGCAGCAGGCAAAGAGAGAAUGAGAGCCAAGUACAAAGGGAAAGCCCUUAUAAAACCAUCAGAUCUCGUGAGACCUAUUCACUAACACGAGAACAGUAUGAGGGAAACCACCCCCAUGAUUUAAUUAUCUCCCACCAGGUCCCUCUCACAAUACAUGGGAAUUAAGGAAGCUACAAUUCAAGAUGAGAUUUGGAUGGGGACACAGCCAAACCAUAUCAAACAUUUACUAGGCCUGAGAAAAAGUGGCUUAUAUUUGCUGACUCCCUCAGGUGGGUCCUGAUCACGCAAGGUACCAACAACAGAGAAUGGGCUACCAAGCCUGAGCAAGCUUCAAAAGAGAAAAACCUCCUGAGUGCUGUUCUCACACAUGACCAUGGGAGGAAUAUGUAAGGCACAGACUUCUGGGGCUGCUAGAUGGGUUAACCAGGAUGCUCGUCCGCAUGCCUGGAUCGGGGACCUCCCAACUCUAUUCCUGUCUUUGACAUCAGAUCAAUGUGGGUAGAAAUUAACAAGUCUCCUUGCAAAAUAAAAUAUAUAUAUAUUUGAAAUUAAAACAUUAAAUCAUAAAUGAGUGUAAUUUAUUGAAAGAAUAGCACAAUACAAGGG